GAGACGGAACAACGCUAUUUUCCGUGAUCGGUUCUAUCCAAAAACAAUAAUUAAGAUGAUGACAUACGCGAACAGUAAAGCAUUAAUAAUUGCAGUGAAUUCAUUCGUUUUUAUUGCCGGUGUUAUCUUGUUAAUUAUUUACCAUUGUACCAAUAAAGAUGACAAACUUCCAAAUUCCGAAGAAUGACUGUCAUGCCGUUGCCUUACGAAUUCGAUCAGACAUCGUUGCACAGCAAUUACAUAUUAUAUACUCAAUACAAUGUUAUAGCAUAGAAAUAUUAUAUUAUUGGCUUACAAAUAAAAUGAAUUGAUAAACAA